CGUCACGAGGCGAAACACCCUGAAACGCACCUGUCGCAACUUGACACGGUAGGGGUCGCUGGUUCGAACCCAGUCGUGCCUA
rnacentral:tRNA from 1 species